rnacentral:ncRNA from 2 species
UGCAAUUCUCAGGGCGGGGUGCGAUUCCCCACCGGCGGUAUUCCGGCUGGUCCGGAGAGCCCGCGAGCGCCUGUUGCGAAAGACAGGGUCAAGCAGAUCUGGUGCAAGGCCAGAGCCGACGGUGACAGUCCGGAUGGAAGAGAAUGACA